UACGGAGGGUGCAAGCGUUAAUCGGAAUUACUGGGCGUAAAGCGCGCGUAGGCGGCUGGGUAAGUCGAUUGUGAAAGCCCCGGGCUCAACCUGGGAAUUGCAGUCGAGACUGCUCGGCUAGAGUGUGGGAGAGGGUGGUGGAAUUCCCAGUGUAGAGGUGAAAUUCGUAGAUAUUGGGAAGAACACCGAUGGCGAAGGCAGCCAUCUGGACCGACACUGACGCUGAGGCGCGAAAGCGUGGGGAGCAAACAGG
rnacentral:rRNA from 1 species